rnacentral:rRNA from 1 species
AUUGAACGCUAGCGGGAUGCCUUACACAUGCAAGUCGAACGGAGUGGCGAACGGGUGAGUAAUGUAUCGGCACGUGCCCAGUAGCGGGGGAUAACUACGCGAAAGCGUAGCUAAUACCGCAUACUAUUGGAGCGGCCGAUCUCGGCUUAGCUAGUUGGUGGGGUAACGGGUCACCAAGGCGACGAGCCGUAGCGGGUUUUAGAGGACGACCAGCCACACUGGGACGGAGACACGGCCAAGACUCCUACGGUAGGCAGCAGUGGGGAAUUUUGGACGAGGGGGGAAACCCUGAUCCAGCCAUCCCGCGUGUGAGAUGAGGGCCUUCGGGUUGUAAGGCACUUUUGGCAGGAAAGCGGUACCUGCAGAAUAAGCACCGGCUAACUACGUGCCAGCAGCCGCGGUAAUAC